UGUUCUGUAGCUUAGUUAGUUAAAGCGAUAACAGAGUCGUGGGUUCAAAUCCCACCAAAACAA
rnacentral:tRNA from 1 species